rnacentral:rRNA from 1 species
CGUAGGUGGCAAGCGUUGUCCGGAUUUACUGGGCGUAAAGAGCGCGCAGGCGGUCGUUCAAGUCGCGCGUGAAAGCCCCCGGCUCAACUGGGGAGGGUCACGCGAUACUGAUCGACUCGAAGGCAGGAGAGGGUAGUGGAAUUCCCGGUGUAGUGGUGAAAUGCGUAGAUAUCGGGAGGAACACCAGUGGCGAAGGCGACUACCUGGCCUGUUUCUUGACGCUGAGGCGCGAAAGCUAGGGGGAGCAAACGGGAUU